UCUGGCCCAAGCUCCAGAAACUCUCUUAAUCAUUGGUCUGGUGAAAAGAAUGGAUUCUACAGGAAAAAAAAAUAAGAGCAGUGAGGAAGAAGGGGCUGCACAAAAAGAGUGGAGCGAAGAAUGGGGAAGAAUUGGGAAGGAGACCAGAAGCUGAGGGUCAGCGGGGAUCAAAGGGAGGAGAUUUCCUUAUCCAUCCGGGUGUGAGAGACAACUCUCUUAUGUGGCAGCAAUGAUGAGAAAAAAUACCCAACGCUGAAAGAGGACGUGAAUGGGG
rnacentral:lncRNA from 1 species